UACGUAGGGUGCAAGCGUUAAUCGGAAUUACUGGGCGUAAGGCGUGCGCAGGCGGUUCUAUAAGACAGAUGUGAAAUCCCCGGGCUCAACCUGGGAACUGCAUUUGUGACUGUAGAGCUGGAGUGCGGCAGAGGGGGAUGGAAUUCCGCGUGUAGCAGUGAAAUGCGUAGAUAUGCGGAGGAACACCGAUGGCGAAGGCAAUCCCCUGGGCCUGCACUGACGCUCAGGCACGAAAGCGUGGGGAGCAAACAGG
rnacentral:rRNA from 1 species